AACGAACGCUGGCGGCAUGCCUAACACAUGCAAGUCGAACGAGAACUCCGGGUCUUGUUGCGAUCGGGGGCGUAACGCGUGGGAACCUGCACUUAGGUUCGGAAUACCUCACCGAAAGGGAUCCUAAUACCGGAUAAUGUCUUCGGACCAAAGAUCUUUUGCCUCUGGAUGGGCGCGCGUUGGAUUAGCUAGUUGGUAGGGUAAAAGCAGACCAAGGGGGUGAUGCAUAGCUGGUAUGGGAGCAUGCUUAGCAACGCUUGGGCUAAGACACGGCCCAGAAUCUUACGCAAGGGAGGAGAGGAGAAUAUAGGACACGGGGGGAAGGCGUGACACAGCAAUGCCGCGUAAGUGAUGCUGGCCGUAGGGUUGUAAUGUUCUUUUACCCGGGAUGAUAAUGACGGUACCGGGUGAAUAAGCUCCGGCUAACUACGUG
rnacentral:rRNA from 1 species